CGUUUUGGUGGAGGGAAGAAGGGAGGAAGGAAAGGGGGAGAAUCCAAGGCACCUAAUUUCUGCUUUGAGAAUAGAGGGAUGUAGUAGCACGGCCACUACACCUUUAAUAAAGGAACCACCAUUUAAUAAUGUUGUUAAUCAGAGUUGGUCAAGUCUAGUGAAUUCCUUUGUUCUUGGUUGAGCGUUUAUUUUGGGGUGGGCUGAGUUUCUUAUCCCAUUGUUUUACUUCAGUUGGGGCAUAAAUGAGCUUUACCACUUUGCAUCUAGUUUCUACUAUGUGGAUUAUAUGUCUUUAUAUCCUGUAUGAACUUCAUGUUUUCCCCUCCUUGUUAUGUUAGUUUCAAAGGAGGUGCUACCAGAUUUUGCUA